GGGCGUGUAACUCAGUGGUAGAGUGCUCGCUUUGCAUUUCUCUAAUGUCUGCGAGAAGCCCAGGGUUCGACUCCCUGCUCGUCCA